AAUGUCCCUUUAUGGUUUCUACAAAAAGAGUGUUUCCAACUUGGCCUCAAUGGACUCCCAAAUGUCACUUCGAAGAUCCUCCAAAAAGAGUGCUUCCAACCUGCUGAAUUAAAAGGAAGCUUUAACUCUGUGAGAUGAAUCCACACAUCACAAAGUAGUUUCACAGAUGGCUUCUUUCUAGUUUUUAUCUGGGGAUAUUCCAUUUUUCCCUAUAGUCCUCAAAGGGCUCCCAAAUGUCCCUUUGCUGAUUUUCCAAAAACAGUGUUUCCAACCUGCUGAAUCAAAAGAAAGGUUUAACUCUGUGAGAUGAAUUCACACAUCACAAACAGUUCACAGAAAGCUUCUUUCUAGUUCCCAUCAGGGAAUAUUCAGUUUUUCCUCAUAGGCAUCAAUGGGCUCCCAAAUGUCUUUUCACAAUCUCCAAAUACAGUGUUUCCAACCUGCUGAAACAAGAGAAAGGUUUGGCUCUGUGAGAUGAAUCCACACAUCACAAAGCAGAUUCACAGAUAGCUUCUUUCUAGUUUUUAUCUGGAGAUAUUGAGUUUUUCCCAUAGGCCACAAUGGGCUCCCAAAUGUUCUUUUGCAGAUUCUCAAAAAAGAGUGUUUCCAAACUGCUGAAUUAAAAGAAGGGUUUAACUCUGAUAAUUGAAUCCACAAAUCACAAAGUGAUUACAUGGACAGUUUCUUUCUAGUUUUUAUCUGGAGAUACUCGGUUUUUCCCCAUAGGCCACAUUGGGCUCUCAAAUGUCCCCUCACAGUUUCUCCAAUAAAAGUGUUUCCAACCUGCUGAAUCAAAAACAAUGUCAAAAUCUGUGAGAUAAAUCCACAAAUCGCAAUGCAGUUUCACAGGUAGCUUUUGUCUAGUUUUUGUCUGAAGAUAUUUGGUUUUUCCCCAUAGGCUUCAAUGGGCUCCCAAAUAUCCCUUCACAGAUUCUUCAAAAAGAGUGUUUCAACCUGCUG
rnacentral:lncRNA from 1 species